UUUGUCCCAUCACAUUAAAUAGUAUUUUCAUACAAGAGGCUUAAAGCAGGUCUUGUUUCAAUUAGCCUUAUACUUUAAGUGUGUGUGUGUGUGUGUGUAAAGGGCCAUCAAAUCACUUUGUGUAAAGGGCCAUCAAAUCACUUUUCAAGGCAAGAGAUGUUUACAGGUGAUUUGCCCCAUUGCCUGCCUUGCGUAACAAUCCUGGAUUCCCUUGGUGGUCUCCCAUCCAAGUACUAAGCAGAGGUGAUCUGCUUUGCUUCUGAGGUCUGACUAGAUUGGGCUAGCCUGGGCCAUCCAGGUCACGGUCUAUACUACAAAUAUAAAAUUGGUUAAAGGCCCAAGUAAACACAUGAAGCUGCUUUAUACUGAAUCAAACCAUUGGUCCAUCAAGGUCAGCACUGUGUACUCAGACUUGCAGCAGCUCUCUAGGUUGUGCCAGGUAGUGCUGUUUCAUGUUGCCUACUGCCUCACCCUUUUGACCGGAGACCUGGAACCCUGCUGCAUAAAAACAUAUUCUGCCACUGAGCCACUCCCCAUGUUUUGUAUUACACAUGCCUCUCAACAUUCUCUUUGCAUUAAUAUCAGUCAGAUUUUAGCAGAAAUUACAAGGAAGAAAUGGAAAGCUGGUUUAGUCUGAUGUAUAAAAAGUGUUUUUGUUAGCCCCUGCAGGCUAAUAGUAGUUCUUAGGGAAAGAUCUUGGAUCAGGGAAAUCAUGUGGAUGGAAGGGUUUAAAUAACUAACCUUCCCUACUCGGUACGGUAUAAUGGUUAUGCUUAAAACAGGGGUGUCCAACUGAAGCUUCAGAUGUUCAUGGACUACAAUUCCCACCAGCCCCUGCUGGCAUGGCCAAUUGGCUAUACCAGCAGGGGGUUGAUGGGAAUUGUAGUCCAUGAACAUCUGAAGCGCCGGAGUUGGACACCCCUGACUUAAAUUGUCAGAUUAUGCCUUGGAUAACCAGGUGCAAAUACCUAUUCAGCUAUGACUCUCACCACGUGAUUUUGGGUCAGUCAUUCUCACAGCCUAACAGUCGGCAAAGACUUUUUGUAAGAAUACAAAGCAAGAAAAAAAAGGUAUGUAUGCUGCCCUAAGUUCCCCUAAUGGAGCAAAAAGAUGCUCGUUUCAGGUUUGGAAACUGCUCAAGAAGGGGAUCUUUAACCCACAUCCCUACACAUUACAGUCGCAAUACUGAGUUAUGAACUCAUAGACCCUGCCUGGUUGAGAGUCUUAAUGUCAGCCAUAUGUGGGACACAACGAUUUUGGAACGUAUCAUUGGCCCUGGUAAUCCAAUGACUUUGUAAAGCAGAUUAGAUCAGUGAGUAUCCCAAGAAUGGAGAUGGGGUUGUGGCUGAGGCUGAAAGCUAGGGGCUUGUCUAGAGAGCUGAACUUGAGGUGAAAUUUGAACCAAGGCCUUUAUUCCACAAUAAUCAAGACCACACAUUUACAUGAGGGUCAUUAUUUAGACAUGUAUAAAAAACUCAGGCACACUUGGUUUGAUGUGCUGAUAGGAGGCAUGGGAGCUGUAUUUGAUACUGCAGUGAUCAAGGAGGGAACAGUAAGGUGGGAACACAGCCUAAUGGUUCCAGAGAAAGGUUGGAACAAACAUGAUGCAUCAGCCUCACUGAAGCAAAAUGGGUCUGUAUCUGGUCUGUGCCUGAAUGUUAUACCUUCCACCAUCACCAAGGAAUGCUGUCUUGAGAUGCAUGAUAUUAGAAGAAGUGUGAUAUAAAUAUAAUAAAUACAUGACGAGGCCAAAAUUCUAUUCACUUUCUAAGCUCUGUAGACUGCUUAGUGUAUGAAUGGUGCAAAACAAAUGUAAACUCAAAUAGUUUCAACCAGCA